UACGGAGGGGGCUAGCGUUGUCCGGAAUUACUGGGCGUAAAGCGCACGUAGGCGGCUUUGCAAGUCAGAGGUGAAAGCCCGGGGCUCAACCCCGGAAUUGCCUUUGAGACUGCAUCGCUAGAAUUGUGGAGAGGUAAGUGGAAUUCCGAGUGUAGAGGUGAAAUUCGUAGAUAUUCGGAAGAACACCAGUGGCGAAGGCGACUUGCUGGACAUAUAUUGACGCUGAGGUGCGAAAGCGUGGGGAGCAAACAGG
rnacentral:rRNA from 1 species